rnacentral:rRNA from 1 species
GACGAACGCUGGCGGCGCGCUUAACACAUGCAAGUCGAACGGAAAGGCCUGCUUUCCCUUGUGGAUUGCGGGUACUCGAGUGGCGAACGGGUGAGUAACACGUGAGUGAUCUGCCCCCAACUUGGGUAUAAGCCUGGGAAACUGGGUCUAAUUCCCGAUAGGACUGCAGGGUGGUGCCGGUGGUGGAAAACGAUUUUCUAGUGGUUGGGGAUGAGCUCGCGGCCUAUCAGCUUGUUGGUGGGGUAAUGGCCUACCAAGGCGGCGACGGGUAGCCGGCCUGAGAGGGUGGACGGCCACAUUGGGACUGAGAUACGGCCCAGACUCCUACGGGAGGCAGCAGUGGGGAAUAUUGCACAAUGGGCGGAAGCCUGAUGCAGCGACGCCGCGUGGGGGAUGACGGCCUUCGGGUUGUAAACUCCUUUCGACCGCGAGGAAGCCACCUGGUUGGAAGGGUGGUGACGGUAGUGGUAGAAGAAGCACCGGCUAACUACGUG